rnacentral:rRNA from 1 species
AGCUGCAGACUUUGCCUGAAUCGCUGAGAGGAGGUGCAUGGCCGUCGCCAGUUCGUACUGUGAAGCAUCCUGUUAAGUCAGGCAACGAGCGAGACCCGUGCCCACUGUUACCAGCAUAUUCUCCGGAAUGAUGGGUACUCUGUGGGGACCGCCUAUGUUAAAUAGGAGGAAGGUGCGGGCCACGGUAGGUCAGUAUGCCCCGAAUCUCCCGGGCUACACGCGGGCUACAAUGGAUGGGACAAUGGGUCCCUCCCCCGAAAGGGGCUGGUAAUCUCACAAACCCAUUCGUAGUUCGGAUCGAGGGCUGUAACUCGCCCUCAUGAAGCUGGAAUCCGUAGUAAUCGCGUUUCAAUAUAGCGCGGUGAAUACGUCCCUGCUCCUUGCACACACCGCCCGUCAAACCACCCGAGUGAGGUAUGGGUGAGGGCAUGGACAUUGUGCUGUGUUCGAACCUAAAUUUUGCAAGGGGGGUUAAGUCGUAACAAGGUAGCCGUAGGGGAAUCUGCGGCUG